rnacentral:rRNA from 1 species
GACGAACGCUGGCGGCGUGCUUAACACAUGCAAGUCGAACGGAAACGCCCUGCUUUGGUGCGGUGCUCGAGUGGCGAACGGGUGAGUAACACGUGAGUAACCUGCCCGUGGCUUUGGGAUAACUUCAGGAAACUGGGGCUAAUACCGGAUAGGAGCUCCUGCUGCAGGGUGGGGGUUGGAAAGUUUCGGCGGUUGGGGAUGGACUCGCGGCUUAUCAGCUUGUGGGUGGUGUAGUGGCUUACCAAGGCUUUGACGGGGAGCCUGCCUGAGAAGGUGACCGGCCCCCUUGGUCCUGCGAUACGGAGCAGACGGCUACGGGAGGCAGUAGUGGGGAAUAUUGCACAAUGAGCGGAAGUCUGAGGCAGAAACGUUGGGUGUGGGAUGACGGCCUUCGCGUUGUGAAACGCUUUCGCCUAUGACGAUGCGUGAGUGACGGUAAUGGGUAAAGAAGCACCGGCUAACUACGUG